rnacentral:rRNA from 1 species
GACGAACGCUGGCGGCGUGCUUAACACAUGCAAGUCGAACGGAAAGGCCCUGCUUUUGUGGGGUGCUCGAGUGGCGAACGGGUGAGUAACACGUGAGUAACCUGCCCUUGACUUUGGGAUAACUUCAGGAAACUGGGGCUAAUACCGGAUAGGAGCUCCUGCUGCAUGGUGGGGGUUGGAAAGUUUCGGCGGUUGGGGAUGGACUCGCGGCUUAUCAGCUUGUUGGUGGGGUAGUGGCUUACCAAGGCUUUGACGGGUAGCCGGCCUGAGAGGGUGACCGGCCACAUUGGGACUGAGAUACGGCCCAGACUCCUACGGGAGGCAGCAGUGGGGAAUAUUGCACAAUGGGCUGAAGCCUGAUGCAGCAACGCCGCGUGCGGGAUGACGGCCUUCGGGUUGUAUACCGCUUUCGCCUGUGACGAAGCGUGAGUGACGGUAAUGGGUAAAGAAGCACCGGCUAACUACGUG